CUAUCGAGUAGAAGCGGUUAGCGCCGAUGCGCCUCCCCCCAGCGGGCAGACGCAUGCCGGCGUGGGACAUUGCUCUCGCG
rnacentral:ncRNA from 2 species